GUCCUUCCACCCCAGGGCCUCUCGCCUGCCAGCCCCGCUCCAUGCUGGCCUGCCUGCCGCCCCCACAGCCUGCGAGGAGCCCUGGAUGGGCUCCCGCCUCUGGCUUCGAACUUGGGAACCUCAGAACACUGAGGGGACAGGAGGGAGGAAGAAAGAGAGAGGG